rnacentral:rRNA from 1 species
GGCCAGGGCGGCAGCUACACAUGCAGUCGAACGGUAGCACAGAGGAGCUUGCUCCUUGGGUGACGAGUGGCGGACGGGUGAGUAAUGUCUGGGAAACUGCCCGAUGGAGGGGGAUAACUACUGGAAACGGUAGCUAAUACCGCAUAACGUCGCAAGACCAAAGAGGGGGACCUUCGGGCCUCUUGCCAUCGGAUGUGCCCAGAUGGGAUUAGCUAGUAGGUGGGGUAACGGCUCACCUAGGCGACGAUCCCUAGCUGGUCUGAGAGGAUGACCAGCCACACUGGAACUGAGACACGGUCCAGACUCCUACGGGAGGCAGCAGUGGGGAAUAUUGCACAAUGGGCGCAAGCCUGAUGCAGCCAUGCCGCGUGUAUGAAGAAGGCCUUCGGGUUGUAAAGUACUUUCAGCGAGGAGGAAGGUGUUGUGGUUAAUAACCGCAGCAAUUGACGUUACUCGCAGAAGAAGCACCGGCUAACUCUGUGCAGCCAGCCGCAA